AGUGAACGCUGGCGGUAGGCCUAACACAUGCAGGUCGAACGGCAGCACAGUAAGAGCUUGCUCUUACGGGUGGCGAGUGGCGGACGGGUGAGGAAUACAUCGGAAUCUACUUUUUCGUGGGGGAUAACGUAGGGAAACUUACGCUAAUACCGCAUACGACCUACGGGUGAAAGCAGGGGAUCUUCGGACCUUGCGCGAUUGAAUGAGCCGAUGUCGGAUUAGCUAGUUGGCGGGGUAAAGGCCCACCAAGGCGACGAUCCGUAGCUGGUCUGAGAGGAUGAUGGGCCAACGGGGAACGGGGACACGGCCCAGACUCCUAGGGGAGGCAGAAGUGGGGAAUUUUGGAAAAUGGGGGCAAGCCUGAUCCAGCCAUACCGGGGGGGUGAAGAAGGCCUUCGGGUUGGAAAGCCCUUUUGUUGGGAAAAAAAAGCAGCAGGUUAAUACCCCGCUGUUCUGACGGUACCAAAAGAAUAAGCACCGGCAAACUUCGU
rnacentral:rRNA from 1 species